GACGAACGCUGGCGGCGUGCUUAACACAUGCAAGUCGAACGGUAAGGCCCUUCGUGUGACACGAGUUCCGAACGCGUGCGUAACACGAGCGUGAGCGUCCCUUCCCCUUGAGAUAAGCCUAAGAAACGGAGUCUAAUGCCGAUACUGGCUACGAGCUCCUGCGGCUUGGUGGGGGAUCUUAUGCGGUGGGGGAUGGGGCCGCGGCCUAUCAGCUUGUUGGUGGGGGUGUGGCCUACCAAGGCCACGACGGGUAGCCGGCCUGAGAGGGUGACCGGCCACAUUGGGACUGAGAUACGGCCCAGACUCCUACGGGAGGCAGCAGUGGGGAAUAUUGCACAAUGGGCGGAAGCCUGAUGCAGCGACGCCGCGUGCGGGAUGACGGCCUUCGGGUUGUAAACCUCUUUCGGCACUGACGAAGCGCAAGUGACGGUAAGUGGUGAAGAAGGACCAGCCAACUACGUG
rnacentral:rRNA from 1 species